CGGUGGGAUUCACUCCUUCCCUCUCCAUCAGAUGACAGAGUAUCACGGGAUACAAGAUGCCGGAAGGAAGCCAGCCAAGCAGGAAAUAUUGUCUAUGGCCAUGUCACCGUGAGCACGACCUAUCUCACCUAAUAGGAAAUAUCAUCUCCUGGGAUUUUUUUAUGUGUGAGAAAAGAAGGCCAGAAGAGAGUAUUGG